rnacentral:rRNA from 1 species
AACGAACGCUGGCGGCAUGCCUAACACAUGCAAGUCGAACGAGACCGUCGGGUCUAGGGGCGCACGGGUGCGUAACGAGGGGGAAGCUGCACGUAGGUUCGGAAUAACUCACCGAAAGGGGUGCUAAUAACGGAUAAUGUCUUAGGACAAAAGAUUUAUCGCCGUAGGAUGGGGCCGCGUUGGAUUAGCUGGUUGGUAGGGGAAAAGCCUACCAAGGCGACGAUCCAUGGCUGGUCGGGGAGGAUGCCUAGCCGCGCUGGGACUGCGACCCGGCCCCGUCUCCUACGGAAGGCAGCAGUAUGGAGUAUUGUGCAAUGGGCGAUGGCCUGGUCCAGCCAUGCCGCGUGAGUGAUGAAGGCCUUAGGGUUGUAAUUCUCUUUUUCCCGGGAUGAUAAUGACGGUACCGGGAGAAUAAGCUCCGGCUAACUCCGUG